AUGGAUGUUUACUCCCAGCAAAUCUGGAUUCCAAGUCUAAGGGCUGUCGGCAUUCACCCUGAAGAAGCGCUCACCUCUUCACUUUGAAACUCUAAUAACCCGCUUCAGGGAGGUUUGAGAUCAGACCUGCCGGGCAGUGAAUCCAGUCAACAGCUCAAGACCAAUGAACACUCGGCUGAAGGUGAGGCAAUUUGACUGGACCCUUCCAUCCCGAUAUUCCAGGUCCUGUGACUCUAUUUAUAAUGACCCCUGGCAGGGGCCAGGAGGGGCAGGAUGAAGACCAGGGCAAAAAGAUAGAGUCAACUUCAGCAAGAUGUGGGGACCCUGGACCUGACAGCCAAGCUAAAAUGCAGUCUGUGUAUCAAGGGCUUGGGCAAAAGAGGAAGUGCAAAGCUUUAAAGAGCUCCCGGAUCUACUUGAAUGUUCCUGCCAGGCUGAAAAUCUCUCUCCUUUUAAGAUGUAAGAGAUUUGCUCCCUGAGACUUGUCUUCAAUCAUUUUCUAUCCCUCCCCAGCCGCUAUAGGCAGCAUGGAAGGCGAGGGAAUCUGUGGGGAUGAAUUAGGAGUCUGCAGGUAUUCCUCCAGAGUUGCAGGUGUUAAAUCCAAAGCAGGUCUGGGCUCCACUGAGAUGAG